GUUAUGUGGUUAAGCUAGGCAAACAGGUUUAAAUGUAAAUAGCAGUGGUGUGAGCAAGGUAACUGCUCGGUUGAUUGAUUGACGUUUUGAAACUGAUAUGAAAGGCAUUAGAGUUAGGGUUUCUAUUCAUACAAUCAUGAUUAUAUAGAUAUAGAGACUAAGUGUAUGUUGGAUAUUCUAGAACUCAAACUAAAGAAUAGUCGAUCAACGUCCGUAUUUUUAGACUAUCUAUUGCCAUAUCUAAGACCUCAGUUGUCGCUUGUUGGUCGUGAGAAAGUGUCGAUCGAUACCAAUUAUGGAUUGUUGAUCGAUACACCUUUCAGCCCGUCGAUCGAUGUAACUACUAAGUUGU
rnacentral:lncRNA from 1 species